rnacentral:tRNA from 1 species
GGGCCAGUGGUGGAAUGGUAUACACGCACGACUUAAGAUCGUGUCUCGUAUGAGAUGUGGGUUCGAGUCCCACCUGGCCCA